rnacentral:rRNA from 1 species
AGUGAACGCUGGCGGUAGGCCUAACACAUGCAAGUCGAACGGCAGCACAGAGGAGCUUGCUCCUUGGGUGGCGAGUGGCGGACGGGUGAGGAAUACAUCGGAAUCUACUCUGUCGUGGGGGAUAACGUAGGGAAACUUACGCUAAUACCGCAUACGACCUACGGGUGAAAGCAGGGGAUCUUCGGACCUUGCGCGAUUGAAUGAGCCGAUGUCGGAUUAGCUAGUUGGCGGGGUAAAGGCCCACCAAGGCGACGAUCCGUAGCUGGUCUGAGAGGAUGAUCAGCCACACUGGGACUGAGACACGGUCCAGACUCCUACGGGAGGCAGCAGUGGGGAAUAUUGGACAAUGGGCGCAAGCCUGAUCCAGCCAUACCGCGUGGGUGAAGAAGGCCUUCGGGUUGUAAAGCCCUUUUGUUGGGAAAGAAAUCCAGCUGGCUAAUACCCGGUUGGGAUGACGGUACCCAAAGAAUAAGCACCGGCUAACUUCGUGCCAGCAGCCGCCGUAA